UUUAACAUAAUAAAAAAAUCUGACCAACACUUCAACAUAUGAAUAAAUUUUGGCCUCAUUCUUCCUUAAAAGAGCAGAAUGAUCAGAUAGACCUUUCUCCAACGCCUACUUAGAGCAAAGAUACCAUGUAUUUAGCCACUCCUCUGAAAGAAGAAGACGACCCAACAUACUCAUGGCAACUCCAUCAAGGCGAGAUCAUAUAAAUUUCCUCCCAACGAAGGAGCACUGCCAUAAGAACAAUGAUUGUCCAGAGGAUAGUUGUCUCCCUCCUAUAGUAAUUCCAACAUGCACUGAGGGUAUUUGUACGUGCUUUUAACCAUAUCAUUUAAGAUGAAAAAAUAAUUCUGUUAAUUAUUUCUAAACACGCUAUUAUUUGUUCGUCAUAAUGUUUUGGUAGCUUUGAUUUAUGUUUUUAUCGCCUUUCAAUUUUCUUGACAAGCUAAAAUAUGUGUUACCACAUUUGUAAAAUUGUCCAAGUAAAUGGUCAUUUUCAAGGUUUAUUUUUUUAAUAA